ACUUCUUUGCAUUGUCACACAUGCUUCAGUGCUCUGAGAGUGUUUAUAGUGCUGUGAGUUUAACACUUCAUGACUGAGAGCAGAACAGAACACAAUCUUCAUCAUCACACAAGACAAAAGAACAACAAUGAACAAAAUCACCUUCUUCAUCUGGACUCUCACACUGUUUGUUCAAGAAUCCAGAGGAGUGACUCUGACUCAACCUGAAGUUAAAACUGUCCAACAGGGUCAAACAGCUACAAUAGAGUGUCAUAUAGAUGUAGGAAUAUACAGCAACUACUUAGCCUGGUAUCAGCAGAAACCUGGAGAAGCUCCUAAACUCCUGAUUUAUUGGAUCAACAGACUCCAGUCAGGAACUCCAUCUAGAUUCAGUGGCAGUGGAACAGCAAAUACUGGACGAGAUUUCACUCUGACCAUCAGUGGAGUCCAGACUGAAGAUACAGGAGAUUAUUACUGUCAGAGUUACCACUAUAUCAACAGUAAAGAAGUGUUCACACAGUGAUAAAGAGUGGUACAAAAACCUCGGUCAGUCAGACGUCACAGUGAUGCACUGAUACAGCUGAGAGAUACUGCAGCUGCUGAUGGAGGAUCACAAACAACACAAUGAUCACAGUAUGAGAGCGAUGUGGAGUGAAGCAGAAAUAGCAGUUGUUUUUAAUGUGUUUUCUCUCACUCCAGGAUUGAAAGAAGCGGUUUCUUUCUUCAGUGGUUGUGGGAAAAAUAUGCAUACUAACUAAUCAGAUUUAGUCUGAAAGCCCACUAUGAGUACACCAGCAGUCAAGGACAAUCGAAAAAGAGAGAUUGAACAAUCAGCAAUAAAGAAAAAAUUCAAAGAUUCCACCAUCUCCAGAGAGGAUCUCAACACUGCUAUUGCUAACGGUAUCAAGCUAACGCUCAAAGAGCAACAAAGUACUCUCGAUUCAGUUGUGGCUUCGACAGUAAGAGAAGUGAUAGACUCUGCACUGAUCCCAGCACUCCGUGAUCUACAUUUGGAUAUAAAAACGACCAACGAUUCUGUUAAAGAACAAAAAGCAGAAGUUGAAAAGCUAGCCAACACGGAAAAACAGAGACGUGACCGGGUCGAUUCUGUUCAGGCUGCUGCACGUGAGGAUAGGAGGACAGUCACAAACUCACCAACUCACCAAAAAUGACGGACACUGAAGACAGGAGCAGGAGAAAUAACGUACGACUGGUGGAUCUGCCUGAGGGGGCGGAGGGCUCCGAUGCAGCGGGCUUCCUCAGAGCUCAUCUUUCCAGGUGGAUCUCUUCACUGAAAGGCCGUGACAUCGAGAUUGACCGGGCCCGUCGCGUGUAUGACUGACGCGCUGAUUCAUUACGCUCCGAAUCUUCAUGAAGCAGUGUUUUGAAAUCGGCCAUCACUAAAUAAGUCGUUUUUUUUUUUUUUUGGCACACCAAAAAUAUUCUCGUCGCUUUAUAAUAUUAAUAUUGAACCACUGUACUCACAUGAACUGAUUUAAAUAUGUUUUUAGUACCUUUAUGGAUCUUGAGAGAGGAAAUGUCAUUGCUCCCUAUGUAGGCCUCACUGAGCCAUCGGAUUUAAACAAAAAUGUCUUAAUUUGUGUUCCGAAGAUCAACGAAGGUCUUACGGGUGUGGAAUGGCAUGAGGGUGAGUAAUUAAUGACAGAAUUUUCAUUUUUGGGUGAACUAACCCUUUAAGAGAACGAUAACAAGGUGGCCAUGGACACUUCAUCCCCCUGGAAUUAUAAGGUUCUGUCUGCGUUCUGAGCGGUUUUGAGAUAUUGAGCUUCAAAGUUUUUGCAUUCCAUAUAGCAAAAACUAUAUGGGGAACAAGUUUCUUUCAAACAUGAAAAUGACAGGGACAGUAAAUGUAUUCUAAAUGUACAAUAUCAAAAUCCUCUCAAAUUUGUAAAUGGGGAUUUUUGGAACGGGUCAAAUGCAGAUAGAACCUUUUAAUUCUAAAAAAAAAAAAAAACACUUUUCGCUUGGAAUUAUAAGGUUCUAUCUGGUAAAAAAUUAAUUGAAGCAAUAAUUUUCAAGAAACACAAACAGUUUGCUUAUAAUUUCCUUUAAAACAAAAUUAGUGUUGUAACAAUGUGUUGACAUGCAUGAGAAAGUUUAAUUUAAUAGUUUUUAUGACAUUUAUUUUUUAUAUUUUAAAUGAAUAUUUAUAUAUGGGUAAUUUAACACAUUAUUGCAGGAACCAUUUAAGUACAAGUUUCCUUUUGUUUAUACAGAAAGCAGCAAUAUUGUAAAAUUGAAGACAUUCAUCUCACUUAAUCUAGUAUACACUUUAAUCCAGUAUGCCAUAGCGUAGAGCUUUAUAUCUACAUACAGCUCAAUUCAAGUACACAGGAUGGAUCAAAGUUAAAACAUAACCUAAUAUAUACAUAACUUUCCCUCGUAUGACGUGACUGGAAAUAAGUAAAUAGACUACAAAACCCGGACCUAUACUCUUAAUAGCGCUGCUGGCUAACGUUAGCAUGGUGUCUAACUGAAAAUAACUCCCUAACAAAAGAUACAGCAAAACACACAAAAAGACUGUAAUUCCCUGGAAUUUGGGCUGCUGUCAUUGUCAAGAUCAUAAAUAAAAUAGUCGAUCAUGAGCUUUCUAAUAAACAUCGCGUUGUGUGAAAUUAUUUAGUCUUCACUGAUUUAGCGUUUUCGUGCGCUCUCUUCCGCUAUUGUGGCGACAUGACAAAGAACGCUGAUCCUGAUUGGUCCUUGUGUGUGCAUUCAAAGUGCUGAUUGGCUCACGCAGAUAGAACCUUGUAGAGUCAAGUUAGAGUGCGACUUUGUAGACAGAACCUUUUUGUUUUCUAAAAAAAGUACCAAAACUUAAAAAAAGAAACAUCACAUAAUGUAAAUAAGUUGUCACAGAAUAUGAAUAUGUGAAUAACUCAAUUUUGACAAAAAUGUCAGAUAGAACCUUCUAAUUCCAAGGGGACGACUUGUUCAUUUCUUUUUGGAAUCUUGUCCUGUACGCUCGUCCGCUGACUCGUAAAUGGGCCUGGGGACAUGUCUUGUGUUGAAGUGGACUGGUCAACAUUUGUUUCUGUUGUUUGCGCACACCUACAUUCUCGUGUACAUGUACAUUGUUGUUUGUCGUUCCUUUUUCUUGUUUUUUUUUUGUUUGUUUUUGUUUUGUUUUUUCUGUUCCCUUUAACAGGCAUCAAUACUUUUAUUUAUCUUGCUUUUCUUUUAAAAGGAUUAUGCAUCGCGAUGGAUUGGUAUCUAGCAUACAUCUUUAUCAUCAGGCACUUUUCUCCACAUGUUUUGGGAAUGUCCAGUUGUUGUUAUGGACUCAUGUGAAUUCUGUUUUGUCCUUUUUACUACAAACUGAUUACGUCUCUAAUCCAGGUUUAUGUCUUCUCAAUGACGAUUCUAACUGCUGUAUGAGUUCAUUAAAGAAGAGAAUGUUGUUUGCUGGUUUUACAGCGGCAAAGAAGACAAUAAUACAGAACUGGUUUACUCCGAUGAAAAUGAUCUGAAAUUGACAUUUGACAUUUGAACUCCAGUGAAGUCCACUAUAUGGAGAAAAAUCCUGGAAUGUUUUCCUCAAAAACCUUAAUUUCUUUUCGACUGAAGAAAGAAAAACGGAUGACAUGGGGGUGAGUAAAUUAUCAGGAAAUUUUCAUUCAGAAGUGAACUAAUCCUUUAAGAGACACAAAUUCAAUAGAAAUGCAAAUGACCUGCAUGUAUUUGUGAGAUGAUGUGUCAAAGCAGAAGUCGUCUCAAGCUGGUUUUGUGAUCUUGACAAUCAGUUCAAUGUUCUUCAGUGGCCUUCAAGAUCACAGAUCUGAAUCCAACAGAAAACCUUUGGUACAAUAAGAGAUCUGCAGAUAUUAUGGGAUUCAAUCAUGUCAACAUGGAGCAGAAUCCAGAAACCAUCUUGGAAACCUUUUAUCACGCCUUCAUUAGAUUUUACUGCUUUGCCAAUGUGUUUUUAUCUUAUAUCUUAGAUUUUUUACACUCUUGUCCCAGACUCAAACGUUCAGUCUAAGCCUGUGAAAAUCCAUCAAAGAUAUCCUAAUAUUACUACAUAUUAAAUCUAUGAUGACCUAAAUAAACAAAGAGUGAAAUAAACUGAAACAAUUAUUUAAAAAUGAUGACCAUAGUUUCAGCAUCAUUUUCAACUUUUUAAGAGACAAUAGUGUCAGUGGAGAUGAUUGAGAUUAAAUAUGAGACAUGUGAUGUAUGUGGAAAAUGCAAUAUUUGUACUGACUAUGAUCUUGAUGAAAAAUGAGGCUUAUUGUAGAAUUAAGAGUGAUUAACAAUAAAACAUCUAAACUAAA